GAUGAACGCUGACAGAAUGCUUAACACAUGCAAGUCAACUUGAAUUUGGGUUUUUAACUUAGGUUUGGGUGGCGGACGGGUGAGUAACGCGUAAAGAACUUGCCUCACAGCUAGGGACAACAUUUGGAAACGAAUGCUAAUACCUAAUAUUAUGAUAAUAGGGCAUCCUAUAAUUAUGAAAGCUAUAAGCGCUGUGAGAGAGCUUUGCGUCCCAUUAGCUAGUUGGAGAGGUAACGGCUCACCAAGGCGAUGAUGGGUAGCCGGCCUGAGAGGGUGAUCGGCCACAAGGGGACUGAGACACGGCCCUUACUCCUACGGGAGGCAGCAGUGGGGAAUAUUGGACAAUGGACCGAGAGUCUGAUCCAGCAAUUCUGUGUGCACGAUGAAGUUUUUCGGAAUGAAAAGUGCUUUCAGUUGGGAAGAAACAAAUGACGGUACCAACAGAAGAAGUGACGGCUAAAUACGUG
rnacentral:rRNA from 1 species